AGUCGAGGGGUAUUAGUUUUCGGACUAGAGACCGGCGCACGGGUGCGUAACGCGUAUGCAAUCUACCUUUUACAGAGGGAUAGCCCAGAGAAAUUUGGAUUAAUACCUCAUAGUAUAAUGACUCGGCAUCGAGAUAUUAUUAAAGUCACAACGGUAAAAGAUGAGCAUGCGUCCCAUUAGCUAGUUGGUAAGGUAACGGCUUACCAAGGCUACGAUGGGUAGGGGUCCUGAGAGGGAGAUCCCCCACACUGGUACUGAGACACGGACCAGACUCCUACGGGAGGCAGCAGUGAGGAAUAUUGGACAAUGGGCGCAAGCCUGAUCCAGCCAUGCCGCGUGCAGGAUGACGGUCCUAUGGAUUGUAAACUGCUUUUAUACGAGAAGAAACACUGCUUCGUGAAGCAGCUUGACGGUAUCGUAAGAAUAAGGAUCGGCUAACUCCGUGCCAGCAGCCGCGGUAAUACGGAGGAUCCAAGCGUUAUCCGGAAUCAUUGGGUUUAAAGGGUCCGU
rnacentral:rRNA from 1 species